CCUACGGGUGGCUGCAGUGGGGAAUAUUGGACGAUGGGGGCAACCCUGAUCCAGCCAUGCCGCGUGUGUGAAGAAGGCCCUCGGGUUGUAAAGCACUUUCAGUGAGGAAGAACGCCUGGUGGUUAAUACCCAUCAGGAAAGACAUCACUCACAGAAGAAGCACCGGCUAACUCCGUGCCAGCAGCCGCGGUAAUACGGAGGGUGCGAGCGUUAAUCGGAAUUACUGGGCGUAAAGCGCGCGUAGGUGGCUUGAUAAGCCGGUUGUGAAAGCCCCGGGCUCAACCUGGGAACGGCAUCCGGAACUGUCAAGCUAGAGUGCAGGAGAGGAAGGUAGAAUUCCCGGUGUAGCGGUGAAAUGCGUAGAGAUCGGGAGGAAUACCAGUGGCGAAGGCGGCCUUCUGGACUGACACUGACACUGAGGUGCGAAAGCGUGGGUAGCAAACAGGAUUAGAUACCCGAGUAGUC
rnacentral:rRNA from 1 species